UUGACGUGCAAAUGAUAAUGAUUAUUAUUGAGCGCAAUCGGUCGCGAGACCGAUGGGUAACCCGGAAGCUUUGGUCGGCUUGCGGAUUAUCUCCUCAUCAGGCUAAUCACGGUUUUUGACCCGGCUUCUCGCCGGGUCUUUUUUUU
rnacentral:sRNA from 1 species